UUACGGCCAUAUAGUUUUGAAACACAGGUUCCCACAUGAUCAGCAAAGUUAAGCAAUGUUGAGCUUGGUCAGUACCUAGAUGGGUGAUCACUUGGGAAUACCAGGUGAUGA